rnacentral:lncRNA from 1 species
CUCGCGAUGCCCGAGUGCGCAUCAGAGGCGUCACUGUGGUGGGAGAAACACCUGGACCACGGUCCUUGCCCUGAGCUGCUUAGAAAACACAUAUUGGAUUAACUUCUCAGAAUAAAGAUUCCCCACUAGUGAAACUGUGCAGACUGCGCUACUAACGCGGACACUCCUUGCACACCUGCUUUGAGCUCACUAUUCCAGCACCGACACGGGGACGCUCACUAUUCCAGCACCGACGUGGGGACGCUCACUCACCGACAUGGGGACGCUCACUAUUCCAGCACCGACACGGGGAUGCUCACUAUUCCAGCACCGAAGCACCGACAAGGGGCACCGACACGGGGACGCUCACUAUUCCAGCACCCAGCACCGACACGGGGACGCUCACUAUUGCAGCACC